rnacentral:misc_RNA from 1 species
GUUGUCAUGUUUUUCCUCUCAAGAGUCAAUCUGACUAAUCUUCAGAGCUAAAUUGGAUUAGAUUGAUUCCUAUUUUAAAAUUAUAAUUUGAAUAUUCAAAAACUACACGAAAGUACUAUAAAUUACAAUUCUUUUAAUAUCAAUAUGAUGAAAAAUAUAGAUUAAAAACAUCAGUCAAAGUUAAUCUAGUUUGACUCUCGA